rnacentral:rRNA from 1 species
UACAGAGGUCUCAAGCGUUGUUCGGAAUCACUGGGCGUAAAGGGUGCGCAGGCGGGACAUUAAGUCAGGGGUGAAAGACGGUGCUCAACAAUCGCAGUGCCUUUGAUACUGGUGUUCUUGGGUGACCUUGAGGUAGGCGGAAUGGGUGGUGUAGCGGUGAAAUGCAUAGAUACCACCCAGAACUCCGAUUGCGAAGGCAGCCUACUGGAGGUUAACCGAACGCU